rnacentral:tRNA from 1 species
GUCGCGUUCGUCUAGAGGCUCAGGACUCCGGGUUUUCAUUCCGGGUACGCGGGUUCGAAUCCCGCACGCGACACCA